rnacentral:rRNA from 1 species
AUGGUGUGGUUGUUGAACUCCGUGGUGCCCUCCAUUGGACGCUCUGUGGAGGGGCUGUCCACACCUGCUGAGAUAUGGAAGAUUCUGUCCAUCCAGUACUCUGGCAAGGGCAAUGUCAUGCUCAUUGCUCAGAUUGAGGACAAGAUUAGGUUGCUGCGCCAAGAUGAUGGCAUGUCAGUGAUGACAUACGUGGCGGAACUGCAGGCUCUGUGGGCUGACCAGGAUAAGUGUGAUCCCCUGGAACUCUAUGACGCAGCUUCAAUCGAAUCAGGGCACAAGUGGAUGGCACGCAGGCGUGUGCUGAAAUUUUUGGCUGGCCUCAAAGGUUGCUUUGAUGGCAGGAAGGCUUCCCUCUUGCACCAACCUAGUUUGCCUACCAUUCCCGAGGCUAUUGCAGCGAUGACUCAAGAGGAGGUGCGCCUAUCUAUUGAGCAUGCAGACGUGAAGGUUGUGCCAGCUUCGAAAUUUGCCGUCACUGAGCGCAUGGAGUGGGGAGAUCCCACCAAACGUCAUAUCUGUGGGGAGGUAGGUCACUGGAAGAGAGACUGUCCAACUCAUGGCAGAGGCAGGGGAUAUAACAGAAGGGGAACAUGCAGAGGCAGAAGUGCUAGAGGCAGAGGUGGAUACUCAGAGACCUCAUGGGGCCAGGCUUCUAGAGGCAUAGGUGGCUACUCAGGACACUCAGGGGGUCAGAGGGCUCACAUGGCUAUUGCAAGAGACACUGGGACGUCCAAAGGCAAAGAUGUAGAUGAUGCUGUCUAUGGAAACUUUGCUCACUGGGCCUCCACUGAUGAAGGUAAUCCGGAAAGAGCAUCUCUUGCUACUAAUGAGAGUGCUCCAGAGUGGGUUCUUGACUCUGGAGCAUCUAAGCAUGUUGCUAGUAACUCCUGUGUGUUCGAGUCUUACAAUAAGCAUCCUCCCUCUCACACUGACGCUAUACAAACGGCUGAUGGCACAAAACAGCCUGUCAUAGGGGUUGGUACAGUAAAGUGCACUCCAACCAUUUCCCUAUCGUCAGUGUUACAUGUGCCAGCCUUUCCUGUCAAUUUGGUCUCUUUCAGUGCACUAAUUGAUCAAAUAGACUGUCGUGUGAUCCUUGACAAGUUCGGUUGCUUGAUUCAGGAGCGACAGACGAGCCAGACGGUUGGGACUGACACCAGGCGUAGGGGGCUCUAG